UACGCACGUGCCGUGUCUUCCACUUCUCACUCUCUCUAUUUUCUCUUCCCCUAUUCAAGCGAAUGGGUGUAGUGUGGCUUUAGAACGACGGCCAACCCACCAAACCACAGCACGCGACGUGCCACAAAGGACUCCGAAAGUGGCGGCUUUUCGUGCACGCUUUUUGGAGGCCGCAAAAGUUUUUCGCGGACGACAUUGUGUGAAUGGCAAACAAGUUGUUUUGUUGCGAAAAUGACGCUGUCUUUUGUGAGAGCCCCUGCUGCUGUCGCCUUAAGUAAGCUUAGAAGCGGUAUCAUGGCUGAAGUCAGCGCUAUUUGAUUUUUUAUUUCGGAAUUGCCUUUCUGGGUAGCCGAGGAGCAUUUCUUGGACCCCACGGUGAAAUUUUAGCAUGUCAUCCUUUUUUAGAAGGGAGAAAAAAAAAGCAUGCUUUUUUAUCCUUAUUAUAGUGGCCAAGCCAACUCUUUACGAGUUCUGCUUGCAUGUCAGAGAACGCGCUUGAGGGGUAUCUCAUCACUGUGCUCACCACGAAAGCGUGGAAAACGAACUCGAGGUGCAGCCACGUUACUCCUCCUUCGCUUUCGGCUCCGCCCCCUGUAAAGCAUGCGUGGAGGGAAAGUCUCUCGUUUCGUGGCUCAUUUCCGCGAUCAUGGUCUCUCGAGGUAACGGCUUCCAUUACCAAUUGGCACGUCGCGCGUACUCUGGAUUAACGUGCGCGGGUGUUGUCAAGUCCUCCUGCUUGCCGGAGGGAACACGACGCCGUGCUAUAUCGUUUUUUUUUUGUCGUUUUUUUCUUUUUUCAUUUUAACUUUUAUUUGAUGCUACCUUCACCCCCCCCCCCCCCCCCCGUUAAUUAAGAAAUGAAACACUUUAUUUCUAGAUAGGAGCCAAAUGCCUUCCAUUUCAUCUAACUCUUGCUCAAACCAAACCUAACCAAUCAGGCACUACAUGACUAGCUGCAGGACUAAAGCCUAUCGUACGUAUUCCUUUUUGUCUUAUCUCAAAGUGCUCGCUUAUCUAAGCCUGAAGACGUCAUAAGGCUGGUUGACCCUUUCUGACAUGAUAACGUCUUUGUAAACACAGGGAAGGAUUUUCACGAAGUGCAAAAGAGAGGCACUGGCUGUGUCGCUCUAUUUUUUUUUGCCCCCCUUAGGGUCCAUGCUGAAAUUUUCGCGACUUGCGUGACGCUGCACGCACUUUUCGUGAAGCACAGCGCAUAUCUCAUCUCAAAAGCCUUCCUUCUUACACAGGGCCUCGUUUGCCUUCUGCGGGGCUCCUCUCGCUGCCCGCACGUAACGACGUGAUGACCAAGUUAUUCGGGACAUGGAGCGGUCGUUUGCGCAAAGGCAAAGCGAAACCCGAACAAACAUCCUUCCACCUCGGAGGUGUUCAGCUCGCUCAUGGUUCCCGAUCCCGCGGUGAAGGAGACGUUGGGAGGGGGAGGCGUCGCCGCCAUUUCGCCGUCCAGGACAGAUAUCCACGUCACGGUGAUGUUCAACGCAAUAUUCGCCCCGGCAGACGCCAGAGAUGUGGUGGCCAAGCUGAGUCUCCUAGCUGGCAAGACCAGCGAGUCGGCUGUGGGCGCCAGCUCUGAAAUAACGCUCCACAAUAUUCACGUUUCUUUCAAGCUGUGCUGACGGCGGAGAGGUCUGACUCCGGAUUCGCAGUGCUCAACGUUAACCAGGAUGGGUCAAUAUCUUACCAGGUAAGUUUUUUUUUUAUUCCAUGCGUUUUUUUUUUCUUAUAGAUGGACCAUGUGCGUAAAUUCAGAUGAGCUAGAGGAACACUAAACAGGAACGGUAAAUCAAUUCAGGCUAAGAAGCUAUUUUAUCAAAAUGCUAUUUUCAUUUAUUCUUGCGCGUAGGGCAGCAGACAAGAAUACCUUUUCAUUUGACUGCAAGUAUAUUUGUUUGGGUAUUUUAUUUUCUCUUUA